rnacentral:rRNA from 1 species
AGAAUCAACGCUGGCGGCGUGCCUAACACAUGCAAGUCGAACGAGAAAGUGGAGCAAUCCAUGAGUAAAGUGGCGCACGGGUGAGUAACACGUGACUAACCUACCCUGGAGUGGGGGAUAACUGAGGGAAACCUUAGCUAAUACCGCAUAAUACCUACGGGUCAAAGGAGCAAUUCGCUUCAGGAGGGGGUCGCGGCCGAUUAGUUAGUUGGCGGGGUAAUGGCCCACCAAGACAGUGAUCGGUAUCCGGCCUGAGAGGGCGCACGGACACACUGGAACUGAAACACGGUCCAGACUCCUACGGGAGGCAGCAGUGGGGAAUUUUGCGCAAUGGGGGAAACCCUGACGCAGCAACGCCGCGUGGAGGAUGAAGUCCUUCGGGACGUAAACUCCUUUCGAUCGGGACGAUUAUGACGGUACCGGAAGAAGAAGCCCGGCUAACUUCGCGCCAGCAGCCGC